AUAAAUACCAAAUCUUAGAAGAAUGUAACUCCUGUUCUGUGUUAAGGAUUGCUCCAGGACCUCCACUUCCAUCCUCUCUAAUCCUCACGAAACUCCUACCAAGAAAGGAUUACUAUACCAUGGUUACAGGGGAGGAAGCUGAAGCUAAGAGAGUUUAAUGAACUUGAAUGAAGGUCAAGCAGCUCUGGCUCUACAGGUGUCCAUCAUAGGAUGCAAUCCUCCAAGCCCGUCCUCACUGGCCUCCUGGCCCCCGUCUCGUCACCCUCCAAGUUGCUGCUAUGGACACAGAUCAACCUCUGGGUGCAGCGCACCUGGCAGUGAGGUGUCAAGCGAGCCUUCAACCUCUCCCCACAUCAAUUUUCUCACCUUGACAUUGGGGAUCAGAGUGCCUAUUGUGUAUCCACUCAUCCAUUCAUUUCAAGCAUGUUCAUGGAGCACCCAUCACAUGUCUUCCAAGCAACGACAGAGGAGAUGUGAGGACCGACUGUAACAACCUAAGAAAGCACUGAGCAAAUGAGAGAUGCUCCACAUAUGUGGCUCUUUCACUUUCUCUUCUUUCCCAAAACACCAGUUUAUAAAUCAGCAUCACAGCUCCAAAGC
rnacentral:lncRNA from 1 species